CUGCAGUAGUGCAGUACCUAUACGGUUAAUAAAAGUAAACCUUUAACAUUUUUCAACGUUUAAGAAGUGUUGUAAUUUGAAUCCUUAUGUAUGAAGUAUGUACCGAUCGACCGAUCACUUCAGUGGAUGUAGAGAGUUCGUUUUCUACGUAUAAAAACAUGUGUACAAUAGUCAAAUUCAGUACGUUAACUAGGAAAAUACACGUUAUAAUUCUGGGUAAAUCACAAAACUACAUAUAAAGAAAUAGAUCGAUCAAAACUAUCACUGACAAUAUACAAUACAAUAGUAUACCAGCAUAUUUAUCCUAUGAUAAGUAAUGACCUUUGAUGAAGUGACCCAAAUAGAGCAUAAAACAUUAAGACAACUGCUGCUCAUCUGCUUAUCUUAAUAGUCAACCCGACUUAUAAUAGUUGUCAUUAAAUAUAUGAGUAUAUUAAUAUAAGAAAAAAAUAUCUUUGGAUGUCAAUCUAGCUGAAAAGAGUCAUGCGAUAAAACUUAACAAUACAACGAAUUCCAAAAGUAACAAAGGACAGCAUAAUUUAUCAUCAUACUAUAAUUUGAUUAUUAUUAAUUAUAUCACUAGACACAGUCAAAAUGUCAAGGAAAUUUUCAAAUAGACUAAAAUAUAAUAUAUCCAAUUGUAUGAUCUAUUCUACUAAAUAUUACUGUUUUUAUAAAAUAUAUAAAUAUAUAUAGUCUUGUAAAAGUUUUACAACUACAAAGUCCAAGAUAUUAAAUGUAUUUCCUUAAUAGAAAAAUUUAUAUUAAUACAAAUAAUACAAGGAAUAUUACAAUGACAUUGAUUUUUAGAUUAAAAAAAUAUUAUAAAUACUCAGAAUACUGGACCUUGUGCUUAACAUCUUACAAACAACAAUAUAAUUUAAUAAAUACUUUUCUAUAAUAUUAUUAUUUAUUACAUAUAUUUUUUUAAAUGUU